GGAAGUGUGGCCGAGCGGUUGAAGGCACCGGUCUUGAAAACCGGCGACCCGAAAGAAACCGGCGACCCGAAAGGGUUCCAGAGUUCGAAUCUCUGCGCUUCCGCCA
rnacentral:tRNA from 1 species